UUCAAUCACUCUACAAAAAGACCUCAGUUGGGAGCCACUGACAUAGUAAACAGAUAUAGGAUAUAAAUAUAGACUUAGACCUGGCUUUAUCAAAUGCAGGGUGGUGAUAAUCCUAUUUUAUGUCAGUGUAGUUGGGGCUCUCCCUGUCACUGCAGAAUGGGGACUAUCUGUCCCUCUGGUGCCUCCCUCAGUAGGGCCAUUUGUCUGAGCGCAAGGGGUGGUUACUUGCGUUCUCCUGUCUCUGCAUCACACAGCUGAUCCAACAGGAUUUAAAACCCCAACAUCGUCCUGUGUGCUGGCAUUGGACAAGGAGAAGCUGAAAACUUCACACAGCUGACUGGAGGAAAGUGGAGGAUGGCAGAUUUUAAGCUGUUUGAAUACCAGGAAGAGGUGGUUGAAAGAGCUCUUCGGGGAGAGAACAUAAUCAUUUGGCUGCCGACAGGAAGCGGAAAGACCCGUGCUGCUGUGUUUGUGGCCAAAAAACACUUAGAGAUCACACCACAGGCAAAAGUGAUGGUCCUGGUAAACGAGGUUCACCUUGUGAACCAACAUUACAACAAAGAGUUCAAGCCUUACCUGGGCCAUGACUACACCUUGAAGCCAGUCAGUGGAGAGAGUGAAGAAAAGGACUUCUUUGGGAAAGUGGUGCAGGACU